rnacentral:lncRNA from 1 species
GUUGAUCAUUUCUAACCAUAAGAAGCUACAAGAGAAAGAAUCUGUUAUCCACGUCGGUUUCCAGGCUCCAAUGUGAAGUAACUCCAGCUGCCUGAGGAUCAGCAAAGGAUUGAGGAUGAGAGACCAAACGUAAACAAUCAAAUGUGCUCCACAUGCCUUCGGCACAGCCACCGGGACAGCCCUGUUCCCCUCCUACUAGCGAACCAGGAACCAUGAUUGCCUCGCCCAACGAUUUCUUGUGGCGUGAGUGUGGUAGGGAGUGAUCAUCGAAUGGUUAUGAGACUCUAAAAGGUUUUAAAUUGUAUAUAGGAGGACAUAUUGAAGGCGAUGCUCACAGAUCUGACAGUGGAGGAUAUCAUCAGCCUGCUGGAACGCUUUGAAAUCGGCCAUGCCGAGCCUGCUCCUUCGUAUUGCCAUCAAUGGACGCAUGCGGACGCACUCAGAUGUGGCAGAUGUCUAAUAGGUAGACAGAUUGCCUCGUAAAAUGUAUUCCCUAACCAUUUUCAUGGCUAAUUUCUUGCAGAUUGCACACAUUCUGUGUGUUCCACGUGUCUUUUUCGCACCAGAACGUCGUCAGUCGGAAUGGUUAGCAUCUGAGUCUUGUCCAGACCAGUCUUCACGUAAGGCAUCCAUACUGAAGCAACAGACGAGCUGCUACGCGUCAACACGGACACCGCUGAGGGCAACCAGAGCAGCCAGAUUGAUCCUUUCAAAAAGCUCAUCAAAGGCAGCAUUUAAUUAUUUGAUUUGUGUUCAUUGUAAAGGAAGACUCAGUGCUAAGAUCAAGUGUAUUUAUGUUUUACAUAUUUUUGGUUGCCAAACGAAC